CAUCAUUAAGUUGGGCACUCUAGAGAGACUGCCAGGGAUAACCUGGAGGAAGGUGGGGAUGACGUCAAAUCAUCAUGCCCCUUAUGCUUAGGGCUACACACGUGCUACAAUGGGUAGUACAGAGGGUUGCCAAGCCGUAAGGUGGAGCUAAUCCCUUAAAGCUACUCUCAGUUCGGAUUGUAGGCUGAAACUCGCCUACAUGAAGCUGGAGUUACUAGUAAUCGCAGAUCAGAAUGCUGCGGUGAAUGCGUUCCCGGGUCUUGUACACACCGCCCGUCACACCACGGGAGUUGGAGACGCCCGAAGCCGAUUAUCUAACCUUUUGGAAGAAGUCGUCGAAGGUGGAAUCAAUAACUGGGGUGAAGUCGUAACAAGGUAGCCGUAUCGGAAGGUGCGGCUGGAUCACCUCCUUU
rnacentral:rRNA from 1 species